UUCCGGUUGAUCCUGCCAGAGGCUACUGCUAUCGGGGUUCGAUUAAGCCAUGCGAGUUAAAUGUUCUUCGUGAACAUAGCGAACUGCUCAGUAACACGUGGAUAACCUACCCUUAGGACCGGAAUAACCCCGGGAAACUGGGGAHAAUACCGGAUAAGCCAUAGACGCUGGAAUGCCCUACGGUUCAAAGCUCCGGCGCCUAAGGAUGGAUCUGCGGUCUAUCAGGUUGUAGUGGGUGUAACGUACCUACUAGCCGACGACGGAUACGGGUUGUGAGAGCAAGAGCCCGGAGAUGGAUUCUGAGACACGAAUCCAGGCCCUACGGGGUGCAGCAGGCGCGAACACUUUACAAUGCGGGAAACCGCGAUAAGGGAACCCGAGUGCCAGCACCAAGUGUUGGCUGUCCGGAUGAUUAAAAAUCAUUUGUUAGCAAGGGCCGGGCAAGACCGGUGCCAGCCGCCGCGGUAACACCGGCGGCCCGAGUGGUAGCCGUUUUUAUUGGGUCUAAAGGGUCCGUAGCCGGCUUGAUAAGUCCUUUGGGAAAUCUGGCAGCUUAACUGUCAGGCUUCUAAGGGAUACUGUCAGGCUUGGGACCGGAAGAGGUAAGGGGUACUCCAGGGGUAGGAGUGAAAUCUUGUAAUCCCUGGGGGACCAUCUGUGGCGAAGGCGCCUUACCAGAACGGGUCCGACGGUGAGGGACGAAAGCUAGGGGAGGAAACCGGAUUAGAUACCCGGGUAGUCCUAGCUGUAAACGAUGCUCGCUAGGUGUCAGACACGGUGCGACCGUGUUUGGUGCCGCAGGGAAGCCGUUAAGCGAGCCACCUGGGAAGUACGGUCGCAAGGCUGAAACUUAAAGGAAUUGGCGGGGGAGCACUACAACGGGUGGAGCUGCGGUUUAAUUGGAUUCAACGCCGGAAAACUCACCGGGUGCGACAGCAAUAUGUAGGUCAGGCUGAAGGUCUUACCUGAAUCGCUGAGAGGAGGUGCAUGGCCGUCGUCAGUUCGUACUGUGAAGCAUCCUGUUAAGUCAGGCAACGAGCGAGACCCGCGCCCACAGUUGCCAGCAUGCUCUCAGGAACGAUGGGUACACUGUGGGGACCGCCGCUGCUAAAGCGGAGGAAGGAACGGGCUACGGUAGGUCAGUAUGCCCCGAAUCUCCCGGGCUACACGCGGGCUACAAUGGUUGGGACAAUGGGCACCUACCCUGAAAAGGGAUGGUAAUCUCCGAAACCCAACCGUAGUUCGGAUUGAGGGCUGUAACUCGCCCUCAUGAAGCUGGAAUCCGUAGUAAUCGCGUUUCAACAUAGCGCGGUGAAUACGUCCCUGCUCCUUGCACACACCGCCCGUCAAACCAUGCGAGUAAGGUCUGGGUGAGGGCAUGUUUAUGACAUGUUCGAACUUGGGCUUUGCAAGUGGGGUUAAGUCGUAACAA
rnacentral:rRNA from 1 species